ensembl:lncRNA
CCAUUGUUUCUGUGAAUAAUUGAGGUCUGAAAAGGGACAUUUGAAAGACAGUGCAGGCAUAUGUUAUAUUCAAUAUGGGUUCCUAGGAUCAUAUUACAAACAAAAAAAACAACAAUAUUCGUAUAAAACGAGUUACAUAUUUUUAAUUAAUUAUCCCUCCCCCCAAAAAUCCAUAAUCACAUAAAACAAUUCAAAACCAAUUUCUCACUUUUCAAUGUUUUAAGAUGUUGAGGCAUACAGCACUAUCUUAAUAAAUCACUUUUCCUACAGUCAGACAACUACUUAGAGUUGAAAAUCUAAUUAUAUUAUUGGACAGGGUGUCAUUAAGUACACUUGUUCACAUUAUUUCCUGUAUGUGGCACAAAAAUAACAAAUAAUAUAUCCACUUAAGCCCACGGCUAGGGCCAUGGUAAUAUAUCCACUGAAUGGAGGCCAUGGUAAUAUAUCCACUGAAUGGAGGCCAUGGUAAUAUAUCCACUGAAUGGGGGCCAUGGUAAUAUGUCCACUGAAUGGGGGCCAUGGUAAUAUAUCCACUGAAUGGGGGCCAUGGUAAUAUAUCCACUGAAUGGAGGCCAUGGUAAUAUGUCCACUGAAUGGAGGCCAUGGUAAUAUAUCCACUCAAUGGAGGCCCAUGGCUAGGGCCAUGGUAAUAUAUCCACUGAAUGGGGGCCAUGGUAAUAUAUCCACUGAAUGGAGGCCAUGGUAAUAUAUCCACUGAAUGGAGGCCAUGGUAAUAUAUCCACUGAAUGGAGGCCCAUGGCUAGGGCCAUGGUAAUAUAUCCACUUAGAGGACCAUGGCUAGGGCCAUGGUAAUAUAUCCACUUAGAGGACCAUGGCUAGGCCCAUGGUAAUAUAUCCACUUAGAGGACCAUGGCUAGGCCCAUGGUAAUAUAUCCACUUAGAGGACCAUGGCUAGGCCCAUGGUAAUAUAUCCACUUAGAGGACCAUGGCUAGGCCCAUGGUAAUAUAUCCACUUAGAGGACCAUGGCCAGGGCCAUGGUAAUCUGAAAUAUUUGAAAAAUAAAAUAAAUGAUCACAGCACACACUUUAAGUGAUCAUCCCCACACAGAGUCAGCUUCUCUCCAGUGGAGAACAGAGUAACCAGCCUAAAGACUAAAGAUCAUUUCCCUAUGAUCAAAUUAAAACGUUUUUUAAAAAAUUUUUUAAAUACCCUCUAAGAACGGCUCUAUUCAUUCUUUCCAUCAACUGAAUUUCUGACAACUGAUUCAUUUAGUCUGGAUUUAUGUUGGGGGGUAAAACCAAGGAAACAUGACACACUCACAAGAUGGAUGACAGCCUUUGGCUUUACCAUUCCAAAUCACAAAUCUCAACACAUCGAAUCUCUAUCCAUGUGCGUAUCAGCUACCAGUAGCAGAAUGACAAGACAAACUUCCACUGGAAUCUCUCGCGGGGCACAGCGCUUGUUUUGUGUCCGGGGGGGGGGCAUCUACGGUCUUCUAGGCGGAGCCGACCUGUGUGACGUGGCGUCUCCGAUCUUCUAGGGGAGCCGACCUGCGUGUGUGUUUCUGGUCUAGGGGGAGACAGAGCUGGCCUCCUGGUAGAUGAAGGAGUAGAGGCUGAUGUCAGGACGGCGGGUGAAGCAGCUCUGACACAUUGAGCUGUAGUACUGACCCAGCAAACUGUACAGAGCCCCUAUGAGACAGAGACAGAGACUAUGUCAGAUACAUCAUUCAUUCACCAAACAACCACAGCAGAGAAUCUAGCAGAGGGCAAAUAUUGACAAAUAGUAUUGAAAUUCUUAUUGAUUUUACAGUUUGUGAUUUAAUAAAACUAAUUGCUUACCAAAAUUACAUAAUUCUAUAACCAAUA